AUGGAGUUUUCGCUCUUGUUGCCCAGGCUGGAGUGCAAUGGCGCAAUCUCAGCUCACCGCAACCUCCGCCUCCCGGGUUCAAGCGAUUCUCCUGCCUCAGCCUCCCUAGUAGCUGGGAUUACAGGCAUGUGCCACCACGCUCGGCUAAUUUUGUAUUUUUUUUUAGUAGAGAUGGAGUUUCUCCAUGUUGGUCAGGCUGGUCUCGAACUCCCGACCUCAGAUGAUCCUCCCGUCUCGGCCUCCCAAAGUGCUGAGAUUACAGGCAUGAGCCACCAUGCCCGGCCUCUGCCUGGCUAAUUUUUGUGGUAGAAACAGGGUUUCACUGAUGUUGCCCAAGCUGGUCUCCUGAGCUCAAGCAGUCCACCUGCCUCAGCCUCCCAAAGUGCUGGGAUUACAGGCGUGAGCCACCGUGCCUGGCCUUUUUAUUUUAUUUUUUUUAAGACACAGGUGUCCCACUCUUACCCAGGAUGAAGUGCAGUGGUGUGAUCACAGCUCACUGCAGCCUUCAACUCCUGAGAUCAAGCAAUCCUCCUGCCUCAGCCUCCCAAGUAGCUGGGACCAAAGACAUGCACCACUACACCUGGCUAAUUUUUAUUUUUAUUUUUAAUUUUUUGAGACAGAGUCUCACUCUGUCACCCAGGCUGGAGUGCAGUGGCGCAAUCUUGGCUCACUGCAACCUCUGCCUCCCGGGUUCAAGUUAUUCUCCUGCCCCAGCCUCCUGAGUAGCUGGGACUACAGGCGCCCACCACGCCUAGCUAAUUUUUUUGUAUUUUUAGUAGAGAUGGGGUUUCACCAUGUUCGCCAGGUUGGUCUUGAUCUCUUGACCUUGUGAUCUGCCUGCCUCGGCCUCCCAAAGUGCUGGGAUUACAGGCGUGAGCCACCACGCCCGGCCUAUUUUUAAUUUUUGUUUGUUUGAAAUGGAAUCUCACUCUGUUACCCAGGCUGGAGUGCAAUGGCACAAUCUCGGCUCACUGCAACCUCUGCCUCCCGGGUUCAAGCGAUUCUCCUGUCUCAGCCUCCCAAGCAGCUGGGAUUACGGGCACCUGCCAACACCCCGCUAAUUUUUGUAUUUUCAUUAGAGGCGGGGUUUCACCAUAUUUGUCAGGCUGGUCUCAAACUCCUGACCUCAGGUGA
rnacentral:lncRNA from 1 species